rnacentral:rRNA from 1 species
UCUACGGAAUAACUCAGGGAAACUUGAACUAAUACCGUAUGCGCCCUUCGGGGGAAAGAUUUAUCGGAGUUGGAUGACCCCAUGUCUGAUUAGCUAGUUGGUGGGGUAAAGGCCUACCAAGGCGACGAUCAGUAGCUGGUCUGAGAGGAUGAUCACCCACACUGGGACUGAGACACGGCCCACACUCCUACGGGAGGCAGCAGUGGGGAAUAUUGGACAAUGGGCGCAAGCCUGAUCCAGCCAUGCCGCGUGAGUGAUGAAGGCCCUAGGGUUGUAAAGCUCUUUCACCGGUGAAGAUUAUGACGGUAACCGGAGAAGAAGCCCCGGCUAACUUCGUGCCAGCAGCCGCGGUAAUACUAAGGGGGCUAGCGUUGUUCGGAAUUACUGGGCGUAAAGCGCGCGUAGGCGGAUCGGUCAGUUAGGGGUGAAAUCCCGGGGCUCAACCCCGGAACUGCCUCUAAUACUGCCGAUCUAGAGUUCGAGAGAGGUGAGUGGAAUUCCGAGUGUAGAGGUGAAAUUCGUAGAUAUUCUGAGGAACACCAGUGGCGAACGCGGCUCACUGGCUCGAUACUGACACUGAGGUGCGAAAGCGUGGGGAGCAAACAGGAUUAUAUACCCUGGUAGUCCACCCCGUAAACGAUGGAAGCUAGCCGUUGGCAGGUUUACCUCUCGGUGGGGCAGUUAACUCAUUAAGCUUCUCGCCGGGGGAGUACGGUCGCAAGAUUAAAACUCAAAGGAAUUGACGGGUGCCGGCACAAGCGGUGGAGCAUGUGGUUUAAUUUGAAGCAACGGGCAGAACCUUCCCAGCCCUGGACAUCCCGAUCGCGGUUUCCAGAGAGGGUUUCCUUCAGUUAGGAGGGAUCGGAGACAGGUGCUGCAUGGCGGUCGUCAGCUAGUGUCGUGAGAUGUUGGGUUAAGUCCCGCAACGAGCGCAACCCUCGCCCUUAGUUGCCAGCCUUAAGUUGGGCACUCUAAGGGGACUGCCGGUGAU